AGUGAACGCUGGCGGUAGGCCUAACACAUGCAAGUCGAACGGCAGCACAGUAAGAGCUUGCUCUUACGGGUGGCGAGUGGCGGACGGGUGAGGAAUACAUCGGAAUCUACUUUUUCGUGGGGGAUAACGUAGGGAAACUUACGCUAAUACCGCAUACGACCUACGGGUGAAAGCAGGGGAUCUUCGGACCUUGCGCGAUUGAAUGAGCCGAUGUCGGAUUAGCUAGUUGGCGGGGUAAAGGCCCACCAAGGCGACGAUCCGUAGCUGGUCUGAGAGGAUGAUCAGCCACACUGGAACUGAGACACGGUCCAGACUCCUACGGGAGGCGGCAGUGGGGAAUAUUGGACAAUGGGCGCAAGCCUGAUCCAGCCAUACCGCGUGGGUGAAGAAGGCCUUCGGGUUGUAAAGCCCUUUUGUUGGGAAAGAAAAGCAGCAGGUUAAUACCCCGCUGUUCUGACGGUACCCAAAGAACAAGCACCGGCUAACUUCGUG
rnacentral:rRNA from 1 species